AAAGCUUUGUUUGGUGUCAUGUUUUCAUAAAGAUAAAGAUGAUCUUUUAGUAUUCCUGUAUACUUAGGAUACUUGAUAAUGAUGCUGCUGUUUUUCAUUAUGUCCUUCAUUACAUCCAUGUUUCUGUUUUUCUAGAAGAGACUCUGUUUUUCAUAUAGCAAGUUAACACAAUUCUUAAUCUUUAAACUACAAAUGGGGGCCGCGGGCGAGUCCCAGGCCUUGGCCGCAGGGAGAGAAACGGAGCAGGUCCUCGCGCGGUGCACUUCCCUGAGCUGUGGGAAGUGCACCAGGACGGGCUCCUACAAGC
rnacentral:sRNA from 1 species